AAUAUUGGACAAUGGGGGCAACCCUGAUCCAGCGAUGCCGCGUGUGCGAAGAAGGCCUGCGGGUUGUAAAGCACUUUGAGUGGGGAAGAAAGGCUCAAGUCGAAUAGGCUUGAGAGUUGACGUUACCCACAGAACAAGCACCGGCUAACUCUGUGCCAGCAGCCGCGGUAAUACAGAGGGUGCAAGCGUUAAUCGGAAUUACUGGGCGUAAAGGGCGCGUAGGCGGAGUAAUAAGUUAGAUGUGAAAUCCCUGGGCUUAACCUGGGAAUGGCAUUUAAUACUGUUAUUCUAGAGUAGAGUAGAGGGAAGUGGAAUUUCCGGUGUAGCGGUGAAAUGCGUAGAGAUCGGAAAGAACACCAGUGGCGAAGGCGGCUUCCUGGACUCAUACUGACGCUGAGGCGCGAAAGCGUGGGGAGCAAAC
rnacentral:rRNA from 1 species